rnacentral:hammerhead_ribozyme from 1 species
GCACUGCUGAGGAGUCCCAAAAUAGGACGAAAAGGCCGUCCAAUGC